rnacentral:rRNA from 1 species
CCUACGGGUGGCAGCAGUGAGGGAUCUUGGUCAAUGGACGAGAGUCUGAACCAGCCACGUAGCGUGAAGGAUGACUGCCCUAUGGGCUGUAAACUUCUUUUAUAUGGGAAUAAAACAGGGUAUGCAUACCUUCUUAUAUGUACCAUAUGAAUAAGGAUCGGCUAACUCCGCUCCAGCAGCCGCGGUAAUACGGAGGAUCCGAGCGUGAUCCGGAUUUAUUGGGUUUAAAGUGAGCGUAGGUGGAUUGUUAAGUCAGUUGUGAAAGUUUGCGGCUCAACCGUAAAAUUGCAGUUGAAACUGGCAGUCUUGAGUACAGUAGAGGUGAGCGGAAUUCGUGGUGUAGCGGUGAAAUGCUCAGAUAUCACGAAGAACUCCGAUUGCGAAGGCAGCUCACUGGACUGCAACUGACACUGAUGCUCGAAAGUGUGGGUAUCAAACAGGAUUAGAUACCCCUGUAGUC